AUUCCAGCUCCUCCCAAGAACUGGGUGAAGAAUGGAACUUGGCCUAGCCUUGAUCCCAGGAGGGAAAAGAAGCUGUAGAGUUUGCAUCAAGACCAUUUCUUGUGAGUGAUUUGGGGUUUCUCCUCUUCUGAGUAAGAAUGUGGGGGAUUCCUCACUUUGUGGGUCUUUCAUUUGGUGCAUUGGCCGGGAAAGGCAACCACCCAUCUCAUCUGAGAACCGACUUGGAGAUACUGUUACCUGCUGAGAAGCCCCCCUGAUCUAUUCCAGAGACUUUGCCCUAUCCUGCACGUCAUCACCUGCAGCUAGUUCCAGGCUCCAAGCAUGAAUUGGCGGGAAUGGGCCUCCCCCCUCUUUUAUAAAGUGUGUCUGCCAUUAAACAUUUGAUCCCUG